GACGAACGCUGGCGGCGUGCUUAACACAUGCAAGUCGAACGGAAAGGCCCUGCUUUUGUGGGGUGCUCGAGUGGCGAACGGGUGAGUAACACGUGAGUAACCUGCCCUUGACUUUGGGAUAACUUCAGGAAACUGGGGCUAAUACCGGAUAGGAGCUCCUGCUGCAUGGUGGGGGUUGGAAAGUUUCGGCGGUUGGGGCUGGACUCGCGGCUUAUCAGCUUGUUGGUGGGGUAGUUGCUUACCAAGGCUUUGACGGGUAGCCGGCCUUGGAGGGUGACCGGCCACAUUGGGACUGAGAGACGGCCCAGACUCCUACGGGAGGCAGCAGGGGGGAAUAUUGCACAAUGGGCGGAAGCCUGAGGCAGCAACGCCGCGUGCGGGAUGACGGCCUUCGGGUUGUAAACCGCUUUCGCCUGUGACGAAGCGUGAGUGACGGUAAUGGGUAAAGAAGCACCGGCUAACUACGUG
rnacentral:rRNA from 1 species